UACCAAUUUUUUCCCUUAGGCUAUUUUGGCUAGGUUAGAAUAAAGAGGGAAGGAAAAAGGGAAGAGAGCAUUAUGCUCAUUGGAACCAUUGGCUAGGAGAAGAAGGAGAGAGAGAGUGUGCGUGAAAGCUAGAGAGAGAAAGAGAGAAAGAAAGGAAGAAGAGAAGAGGAAGAAGGGUAGGGUUUUCCAAAAGAUCCCUAGGGAAGUAUUUCAAGGGUGGUGGCCAAAUUUUGGUUCUUUGAUUUCUAUCAAAGGAGGCUCAGUGUGAAGUUUGCCAAUUUUUGCUUUGUUCGGACCCGAGGUAGCAAAUAGGUAUUUUCUUUGGCACACGUGGUGAUGUGGGGAGUUUCGACGUCAGAGUGUGUAUGGUGUGGGGGUACCCUAUGGGCGAGAAAACGAUCAGCUUAACGCCAAUUUCUAAUGAACAAUGUUAUGCUUAUUUUUAACUUUUCAGAACUUAUUAGUGGGACUUGAACUUUAUUUAUGUUUAAGACAUUGCAUGAAAACUAUUAUUUUUAUUUUUAAACUAUUGGGCCCAACUUGCAUGUUUUAGCAAGGCCCCACUGAAAUUUUUCAUACAAUAAGUGCCUUUCUUCUAUAAGUUUUUGAGCAUGUAAUAGUUUUGCAAAGCAUUAGAUUAGGGCGUUUUACAGUGGGAGAGAUUGAGGUGGUCAGCCAAAGCAAGGGGAGAGAAAUUACUUGGUUUCUAUUUUUAAAUUAUGUUGACUUACCUCAUUGUAUCCAUAAUAGACUCUAAGCCAAAAAUUAGGAAAAACUUAAAUGGAGAAACUUACCUUUUCCCAUUAGCCUAGGUGAUUAGAUUCUAGGGUAUAUAAAAUGAAAACCAACAAGCCUUGGGACUCAUUGGUGGCCGACUGCAACAAGAGGGAGAAAGAGAGUGCGUGAAAGAGAGAGAGAGGAGAAGAAGAAGAAGAAAAAGGGGUGGUUCCAAUCUUCGUUUGUGUUCUUGAUUUCUCUAGUGGUUGACUCCUUUAAUCCAUCUUCUCAUCUUAUUGUCGCUAAUUUUUUCUUUUUCUUUUUGUUGUUUUGUUUGUUUUCUUUGUUGGGGGUUCGAAAACUCUAGGUGUACCAAGAGGGUGACCAUAAUUUUUCUUGAGUUUUAAUCUCUACCAAAGGAGACCCUCUCAAGUUUUCUCUCAAUAUUCAACCUCAAGAGCACCAAGGAAAACUUGGAGGCUAAGUCUUGGUCUAGGAAGUAUUUUCCCUAAGGUAAAGCUUCACUAAUCUAGGCUUUUGUAAAGUUUUAAGCAUAGAGUUUCAAAUAGCUAAUUAACUAUGUUGUUGGGGGAAGUUGGUUAGGGUUUUUGAAAGGUUUUGGAGGAGCCAAAGCUAAUAUGAAGGUCCAAACCUUAAGCAAGAACACCAAAGAGGUAAAAAUUUUACUUUUGAUGAUUUUGUUGUAGGGUUUUUAGUUUUAAGCAUUAUUUUGUAUAUUUAAUGCUUACAAAUUCUUGUUGGUGAUGUAAUAAGGUUAUGGUAGUUGUUUGAUAAUUUUUAUGAUGCAUGUGUAUUGAUUUUUGAAAAUGGGAACCAAAACCCCCAAGGGUUUUGUAGGAUACCCUAAAACAAAACAUGUUUUGAGCUGUGACUUCCAAGGGGUCAAACAGCCACUGUAUAUUGAUUUUGUAAAAUUAAAUUGAACUGUGAUGUUGUUGAGAUUGAGUACAUAAAAUUGAGCUUUUGAAACACUAAAAAAUGUUUAGAAAUGAGUAAGUUAUGUUAUUUCAAAGUUUAGGAAAAAAACUGUUUUUUCGUAUUCUUAUUUUCGGAACCAAGUUUGGACAGCCACUGUAUAGGGAAAAUGAACCCAGUUUUUCUAAAAUUUUGUGGACAUAUUUCUGGCAUAACCUAUUAUUCCACUGUAAAAUUUGGUAAGAAAAUAUUGAACGGUUUGAAAGUUAUUAACUUUCAAAGUUUGGAAAAAAUAAGGACUUGAAAAUAAGGUCAUUUUUACCUCAUUGUUGGAAUAUGAUUUCACUAAUAAAAAAUGCUCAUUUUGACAUAAGAUUUUACAAAGACCUA